rnacentral:rRNA from 1 species
AUUGAACGCUGGCGGCAGGCCUAACACAUGCAAGUCGAGCGGAGCGGCGGACGGGUGAGUAAUGCCUAGGAAUCGGCCUGGUCGUGGGGGAUAAAGUCCGGAAACGGGCGCUAAUACAGCAUACUAUCAAAUGAGACUAGGUCGUAUUGGCUAGUUGGUGGGGGAGAGGCCCACCAAGGCGACGAUCCGUAACUGGGCUGAGAGGAUGAUCAGUCACACUGGGACUGAGACACGGCCCAGACGCCUACGGGAGGCAGCAGUGGGGAAUAUUGGACAAUGGGCGAAAGCCUGAUCCAGCCAUGCCGCGUGUGUGAAGAAGGUCUUCGGAUUGUAAAGCACUUUCAGUUGGGAGGCGUUACCAACAGAAUAAGCACCGGCUAACUUCGUGCCAGCAGCCGCGGUAAUUC